rnacentral:tRNA from 1 species
AGUUAAUGAACUUGUUAAAGUAUAUGUUUUGAAAACAUAAUAAAGAAAUAAAACCUUUCUAUUAACUU